rnacentral:lncRNA from 1 species
GGAGAAGGAGCGGAAGAGCCGCCGCGGUGGAAGCCAGGACACGGGAAAGCUUUGGACGCUACCAAUUCAGCGAAUAACCUACGGGGGUGCGUGGAAUUGAGCAAACCCUCCGCCGCCGAACCACCAUCCGCUGUGAGCAGUGCACGCUAGCGUCCGAUUCCUGGUAAUGACCUUUCCUCUCAAUUCAUGUUUAUCUACGCAUCGUGUAGAUUCUGGCCGAUUUUUAAUUCGCGCUCCAGAACACCAGGGCUCGGCUCACCGCCACCGGCAUCAAGCGCCGGCAUCGCUAGGGUUUCACGCCCCCAUCCCCCCAGGGCGCCGUCGAUCCCGGUCGGCCAUCUCCCGG